rnacentral:misc_RNA from 1 species
GCGAUCAUGAUCGCGAUGGUGGUGCCGCUGUUGCCGCGCGCCAUCACUCCGCGCCACAGCCACGAGCCCGCGAACGACAUCAAUCCGAUCAGGCACCAGAACGCACUCUGCGCCGCCGCUCCGCCGCCGCCAUCGCGGACAUAGGCGAUCAUGAACGUCAUGUAGGCGAUAUAGCCCGCGCCGAACAGAAAAUAGCCGGCGAGAUAAAC